AAGUGGGCAUAAAAUGGACGGUCAAAAUCGAACGAUGUUCUAAAAAAGGAUGAUCGGAUCCUUCAAUUCAAGAUUAGAGUUAUUGAUCUUUAUCUAUGUAUUGAAUAAAAUUUUCUAUCAAAAAUUCAACAAAUUCCGAUUCUUUUACACCGUUAAAUUAGCAAGUAUCCCAUACCGGCCGUUAAAAAUUGUCAAAUUUGUGACCUCUUGAUCGUAAGGUAAAUGAUGUCGAAAAAUUAUAAAAUUUGAUUUCUAGAAGUUUUAAAUGCUGUAAAUAAU
rnacentral:lncRNA from 1 species